CGUCUUUAUUGGCACACCGCCUCGUGUCCACUUCCCUUCGGAGCUCAGCCUCCUCGUUGGUACAUCACCCGGUGUCAGACUCUGAUAUCUUUGUAACAGCCAAAGCUCACCGCUAACAAAUAUUGUCUUUUUGAGCUCUCUUCUGGGCUUCUCUCAAGGAUUU